rnacentral:pre_miRNA from 1 species
AUCUGUAUCUUCCCACAGCUUUAUUGAACCGCAAGCCAGUUAGAGAGAGAGAGAGAGAGAGAGAGAGAGAGAGAGAGAGAGUGAGUGAGUGACUGCAGCCUCACAUGCAAAGAUCGAUCGAUCUCAUGGAUGCAGUUCAAGAAAGCUGUGGAAGAAUACAAAGA